AAGACCUUGCACUUUUGGAGCGGCCGAUGUCUGAUUAGCUAGUUGGUGGGGUAAUGGCCUACCAAAGCUUCGAUCAGUAGCUGGUCUGAGAGGACGGCCAGCCACACUGGGACUGAGACACGGCCCAGACUCCUACGGGAGGCAGCAGUGGGGAAUUUUGGACAAUGGGGGCAACCCUGAUCCAGCCAUGCCGCGUGAGUGAAGAAGGCCUUCGGGUUGUAAAGCUCUUUCAGCCGGAACGAAACGGUUACGAUUAAUACCCGUGACUACUGACGGUACCGGAAGAAGAAGCACCGGCUAACUACGUGCCAGCAGCCGCGGUAAUACGUAGGGUGCAAGCGUUAAUCGGAAUUACUGGGCGUAAAGCGUGCGCAGGUGGUCUUGUAAGUCAGAUGUGAAAUCCCCGGGCUUAACCUGGGAACU
rnacentral:rRNA from 1 species